GUUUUAAUAAUUUAAAUAAAAUACUGAUCUUGUAAAUCAGAAAUAAGACUUACACUUUUAAAACU
rnacentral:tRNA from 1 species